CACGUUAAUGAGGUGCAUCCUCACGUUAAUGAGAUGCAUCCUCAUGUUAAUGAGCACGUUAAUGGGAUGCAUCCUCAUGUUAAUGAGAUGCUUCCUCACGUUAAUGAGGUGCAUCCUCAUGUUAAUGAGGUGCAUCCUCACAUGUGAAUGAGAUGCAUCCUCACGUUAAUGAGAUGCAUCCUCGUGUUAAUGAGAUGUAUACUCAUGUUAAUGAGGUGCAUCCUCAUGUUAAUGAGAUGCAUCCUCAUGUUAAUGAGGUGCAUCCUCACAUGUUAAUGAGAUGCAUCCUCGUGUUAAUGAGAUGUAUACUCAUGUUAAUGAGGUGCAUCCUCAUGUUAAUGAGAUGCAUCCUCAUGUUAAUGAGGUGCAUCCUCACAUGUUAAUGAGAUGCAUCCUCACGUUAAUGAGGUACUUCCUCACAUGUUAAUGAGAUGCAUCCUCAUGUUAAUGAGAUGCAUCCUCAUGUUAAUGAGGUGCAUCCUCACAUGUUAAUUAGAUGCAUCCUCACGUUAAUGAGAUGCAUCCUCAUGUUAAUGAGGUGCAUCCUCACAUGUAAAUGAGAUGCAUCCUCAUGUUAAUGAGAUGCAUACUCAUGUUAAUGAGGUGCAUCCUCAUGUUAAUGGGAUGCUUCCUCAUGUUAAUGAGGUGCAUCCUCACAUGUUAAUGAGAUGCAUCCUCACGUUAAUGAGGUGCAUCCUCACAUGUUAAUGAGAUGCAUCCUCACGUUAAUGAGGUGCAUCCUCACGUUAAUGAGAUGCAUCCUCAUGUUAAUGAGCACGUUAAUGGGAUGCAUCCUCAUGUUAAUGAGAUGCUUCCUCACGUUAAUGAGGUGCAUCCUCAUGUUAAUGAGAUGCUUCCUCAUGUUAAUGAGGUGCAUCCUCACGUUAAUUAGAUGCAUCCUCACGUUAAUGAGAUGCAUCCUCAUGUUAAUGAACACGUUAAUUGGAUGCAUCCUCAUGUUAAUGAAAUGCAUCCUCACGUUACUGAGGUGCAUCCUCACAUGUGAAUGAGAUGCAUCCUCACGUUAAUGAGGUGCAUCCUCAUGUUAAUGAGGUGCAUCCUCACAUGUUAAUGACAUGCACUCUCAUGUUAAUGAGAUGCAUCGUCAUGUUAAUGAGGUGCAUCCUCACGUUAAUGAGGUUCAUCUUCAUGUUAAUGAAAUGCAUCCUCACGUUAAUAAGGUGCAUCCUCACGUUAAUGAGGUGCAUCCUUACGUUAAUGAGGUGCAUCCUCACGUUAAUGAGAUGCUUCCUCAUGUUAAUGAGGUGCAUCCUCAUGUUAAUGAGAUGCUUCCUCAUGUUAAUGAGGUGCAUCCUCACGUUAAUUAGGUGCAUCCUGUAGAUAUAUGCUAUGAAUUGGCCACUGCUAAAAUAUCAGAUAAGGGGAUUAAUUACUUUGUUGUUUGUUUCAUAUAAAUAUGUGGUCCUAUGUGUAACAAUUUGAAAGCAGUAAGCUUGUUGUGUAAUAAGAAUGCAUCCCAGCUGGAAGACAGUUUACCCUGAAGUGUAAUUAAAUAGGUAGAUUCUUGAUGUUGACACGUCCCACUUGUAUAGGUUAAAGGUUUAUUAUUAACAGGAGAUCGGGGUCAAACAGUCAGUCAUAGCCCUGACCAUCCUUUGUUAAACGAUGCAGAACUAACCAUAAAACCCCCACAGGAGGUCUGGUGAUUGUGUAGUUUCAGAAGAAGGGGGUCACAUGGAAGUCACUAUUGCGCCUGUUUAAGGAGGUCACAGGAAAGUCACAUAUCCUGGACUGUGAGAAGAUGGAGGAUGGAGUCAGAUCAACAGCCAAUCAGGAGGAGACAACACCUCACACAUUGCAUCAACAUUCUGUAUUGUGUAUAAAAUGGGUCAGGGAAAGCAUAGAGUCAGACUUCAUGAACUGACAAACCACUGUUGUUCAUCAGGGACAGGAAGAUCUCGACCCAGAGCUCUGUAUGUUUUAUUCAUUUACUGCUAAAUAAAAUAGCCUGUGAGACCGCU